UUCCUUGUAGCGCAAUGGAUAGCGCAUUGAACUUCUAAUACAAAGGUCGUGGGUUCGAAUCCUACCUGGGAUG
rnacentral:tRNA from 1 species